rnacentral:rRNA from 1 species
CAUUACUGAGUUUACGCUCUAUAACCCUUUGUGAACAUACCUAUAACUGUUGCUUCGGCGGGUAGGGUCUCCGCGACCCUCCCGGCCUCCCGCCUCCGGGCGGGUCGGCGCCCGCCGGAGGAUAACCAAACUCUGAUUUAACGACGUUUCUUCUGAGUGGUACAAGCAAAUAAUCAAAACUUUUAACAACGGAUCUCUUGGUUCUGGCAUCGAUGAAGAACGCAGCGAAAUGCGAUAAGUAAUGUGAAUUGCAGAAUUCAGUGAAUCAUCGAAUCUUUGAACGCACAUUGCGCCCGCCAGCAUUCUGGCGGGCAUGCCUGUUCGAGCGUCAUUUCAACCCUCAAGCUCUGCUUGGUGUUGGGGCCCUACAGCUGAUGUAGGCCCUCAAAGGUAGUGGCGGACCCUCCCGGAGCCUCCUUUGCGUAGUAACUUUACGUCUCGCACUGGGAUCCGGAGGGACUCUUGCCGUAAAACCCCCCAAUUUUCCAAAGGUUGACCUCGGAUCAGGNUANGGAAUACCCGCUGAACUUAAGCAUAUCAAU